AUCCGUCUUCAGGGCGGGGUGGAAUUCCCCACCGGCGGUAGGCAGCGCAAGCUGCGAGCCCGCGAGCGCCCGGGCCGCGCCAGCGGUCCGGGGUCAGCAGACCCAGUCCGAUGCUGGGGCCGACGGUCAAAGUCCGGAUGAAAGAAGAUGCGC
rnacentral:ncRNA from 2 species